CUCUCCUCUCACCCUCCAACCCCCAACUGCUUUUCUCUUCUCCCACCCUCCAACCCCCAGCUGCUUUCCUCUACUCCUACCCUCCAAACCCCAGCUGCUUUCCUCUCCUCUCACCCUCCAACCCCAGUGAUCGCAAAAACGCGCUAUAGCGCGUUUUUUACCCGUUUUUGAAGACAUGGGACUCCAGUUUACAAAGUGGUCGGGUCCCCGGGGACGCGCUCCUCAUUCCGCCAAUCUGUAAGGGGGAUUUGUUUAACUGACACGCUGGCCUCGGGCUGAAUGAUAUAAAGAGGAGGUGGAGCCAGUUUCCCCUCCUCUUUGGCGCCUGGCUGCUUGCGGAGGCCGGGUGACUCGGUGUCGCUGCCAAAGUCCCUUUUCUUCCAUCGAUUCUCCACUAUACAAUAUAAUUCAGGCACGUCUGAGGAUAAGCCAAUACAUCCCAUUGCUUUUGGUUGCCACAAGGAAUAAGAAGAAUGACCUGGAAUAAGAUAGCUACAAUAGAAACACAGCUCAGCUACAGAGAUCAGAAAAAAUAAUUCAUCUGUCUGCAACAGCUGCUUGAUGGAAUCACUGAAAAUGAUCAGAGAAUAACCAUCUCCUUUCAAAACAGAGCCUACAGUAGCCACAGGAAUCAUCUACAGCUGAGAUACCAGUGAAUUCCAGUUGCUUUUCGAGAGGCAAACCAGUGGGAUGUUAUUAGUCCUGCAAUCUGUGGUUUUUAUCACCUUUACUGGGAAACUAUUUUUUAUUUAAUUUUUUUUUUUAUGUGGUUGUAGGAGAGACAUCAGUAUAAGAUUGCCCCCAACCCCCUGUUAUAUGUUAAAAAUGUAAUGGUUUCUGCAGUGCAAGGAGCUAUGGACACAAUUUUAAAAAGAGGUUUCUGCUAUUUCAUAUUUGUGUGCCCCUGAAUUAAAUGAAACCUUGAUGGCACAAUGAUAUUGCCACCAGUAAUAAUAAUUACCUGUGGGGUAAGCACUUACUGAUAGCCCAGCAGUGCUGC